AGCAUGUUCCUUAGAUCCACCAGAUGGGACUCAGUCCACCAACUUUUCCGGUUGGGUAGCGCUGGUGAAUGAGUCAUUGACAUGCGAGACAAUGGUAUCUCCUCCUGUCAACCAGACCUCUCUAGUCACACUCAAACUGCAAUUCUUUUGCUGCUUGGGGAAGCU